rnacentral:rRNA from 1 species
GAUGAACGCUGGCGGCGUGCCUAAUACAUGCAAGUCGAGCGAACAGACGAGGAGCUUGCUCCUCUGACGUUAGCGGCGGACGGGUGAGUAACACGUGGAUAACCUACCUAUAAGACUGGGAUAACUUCGGGAAACCGGAGCUAAUACCGGAUAAUAUAUUGAACCGCAUGGUUCAAUAGUGAAAGACGGUUUUGCUGUCACUUAUAGAUGGAUCCGCGCCGCAUUAGCUAGUUGGUACGGUAACGGCUUACCAAGGCAACGAUGCGUAGCCGACCUGAGAGGGUGAUCGGCCACCCUGGAACUGAGACACGGUCCAGACUCCUACGGGAGGCAGCAGUAGGGAAUCUGCCGCAAUGGGCGAAAGCCUGACGGAGCAACGCCGCGUGAGUGAUGAAGGUCUUCGGAUCGUAAAACUCUGUUAUUAGGGAAGAACAAAUGUGUAAGUAACUAUGCACGUCUUGACGGUACCUAAUCAGAAAGCCACGGCUAACUACGUG